GAUGAAGAACGCAGUGAAAUGCGAUAAGUAAUGUGAAUUGCAGAAUUCAGUGAAUCAUCGAGUCUUUGAACGCACAUUGCGCCCCCUGGUAUUCCGGGGGGCAUGCCUGUCCGAGCGUCAUUGCCGCCCUCAAGCACGGCUUGUGUGUUGGGCCCCCGCCCCCCGGCUUCGGGGGGCGGGCCCGAAAGGCAGCGGCGGCACCGCGUCCGGUCCUCGAGCGUAUGGGGCUUCGUCACCCGCUCUGUAGGCCCGGCCGGCGCCCGCCGGCGACCCCAAUCAAUCUUUCCAGGUUGACCUCGGAUCAGGUAGGGAUACCCGCUGAACUUAAGCAUAUCAAUAAGCGGAGG
rnacentral:misc_RNA from 1 species